GAAGCUGGCUGGUGGAAGGGUGAACUUAAUGGUAAAGAAGGAGUAUUUCCAGACAAUUUUGCUGUCCAGAUAAAUGAACUUGAUAAAGACUUUCCAAAACCAAAGAAACCACCACCUCCUGCUAAGGCUCCAGCUCCAAAGCCUGAACUGUUAGCUGCAGAGAAGAAGUAUUUUUCUUUAAAGCCUGAAGAAAAGGGUGAGGCUAAUUUUCAACUUUCAAAAAAGCAAUUAUUUCUUUUAUUGUCAUUUUAAAGAGAACUAUUUCUCCACACUGAGUCAUUUACACUGAUUUUUAACAGGUAUUCAGUAUGUAUUUAACAAUGCUUGGAGUUUUCUGGGAGGGAGUAGUUCAUUUCUCAAACAGAUAACAAUUUACAUUCAUUAAAAAAUUAAACUAUUACUUUAGUA
rnacentral:sRNA from 1 species